UUUUCAUCCACUUUGAUAACGGGGUUUCUCCCACAGCAGAGAUUUAAAAGGGACAGGAAAAUCUGGAAUAGGUUAGUCGGCCCCGCCCCUCGUUCCUGCCUGGUUUCCCCCCUUCCCUGCCUUUCCAAUGGUCUCGCCCACUCCACCCCUCGCGGGUCCACGGGGGCCCCGGCGCCGACUGAGGCGAGGGCUGCGGGACAAUCACGCUCGGCCUUCUCCUCUCCCGGGCGGCGCUCUCCCUGUGGCGGGGACCUGGGACGAGGGGGUGGGGUGGGGAGGGGAAGGCAGGAGGGGGCUGCCCUUCCGUUGCCCAUGCUAAAGGUUCCUGUGUAGGAAGCUGGACGCAGCCUGCUGGACUAGUAAUCUUCCUCCUCGCUGGGGCGCGGGGCACUGAAGGGAGGGAGAGACUUUCUCCUCCUUCCUGUUCCCCGGGACAGCUGUGCUCUCCGAAUCCUUCCCUUCUUCCCAGCCCACUUAUUCCCCGCUCGCCAAGCAUCUUCAACUAAAGAUGUCAAAGCACAAGCUCACUUCCCACGGAAGGUAGCAAUUACUAUUAUCUACUUGACAGCUACAAGAACCUAGGCACAGAGGUUAAGUGCUCUGCAAAUACUACCAGCCAGUGGUGGUUUUCCUGCCAGAACCAAGUUCUUGCCUUCCAGUGGACACCAUUGAUCUCUCAAGAUGAUUCUUUAAGUUAAAAAGCACGAAUCACAAAGGGCCUCAAAACCACAUUAAAAUUUAAGAUUGAUCUGCUCUUCUGCUUCUGAAUGUGAGAGCCUAUACUGGAUCUCUGAAGAAAAUAAAGAUGAGAUGAGGUUCUGAUCCCUUGGACUUCAUGAAGUUACGUGACAGAAAGUAUGAUUGUCUAGCCGAUACUUGACUGUGUGAAACCUUCAUCUACUCCGGAAUCCUGAGGCACAGACUCAGAGGCCCUCUGACUCACGAUUAGGGUUGUCAGGGUGAUGCAACAGCAAGACCAUAGCCUUUGGUGUCGGAAUACCAAGUUUUGAAGCUCAGUUUCCCCACUCACUAAUUUUCAGUGAGCACAUACAUAAUUUGAAAUCUGAAAAUGGACAAUAAUGCCUACCUACUUCAAAAUUUGGUUUGAGAAUCAAGUGAAAUAUUAAUAUAUAUGUAAGCAUUUUAUGAACAAGGAAGCAAGUUAUAAAUGCAUUAUCUUGUUAAUUUAGUCAUUUCACUAGGGGUGGGUCCAAUGUGGGCCUCCUUUGAGGUAGACUGUAUUUCAUGAAUUUAUAAUAAAAUUCUAAAGUUUAACAAAGACAGUACCUGGAAAAAUUACUUUUUCAUGUUUUUAUGUUUUGUGUCCACUCUGUUGCAGUAACAACACAGAUAUAAAAGGAUUUGAGUCUGUUUAUAGUAUUAAUCAGAUUCCCACUCUCAUUCAUAGUGAGAUUUUAAAACCUUUUCUUACACAUCUAAAGGAAAGUGUAUCUGACCCAGUGGUUUUUUCUUUACCCUGUCACUUUAUUUAGUAUGCCUCAUUAACAUCAAAUAAUAAGGUAUUUUAUUUGGGGUCUUCUCUCAUAGUACUAGAAAAUGCAAUUUUGCUAGAUGAAAUUGGUUUCAAUCCUAAAAAACUUAAUAUUUCUUUUCUUACAAAUAAAUGUUUAUACUUUUUUAUAACAUUCAUUUUCCAGAUAAUGUAGACUUGCUCAGAGAUAAUAUUGUAUCAGAAGAUUUAGAAGAGUAAUUUGUUGAGAAUAUAUAGAAUCAUCCUCAAAUA
rnacentral:lncRNA from 1 species